GAUGAACGCUGGCGGCGUGCCUAAUACAUGCAAGUCGAGCGAAUGGAUUAAGAGCUUGCUCUUAUGAAGUUAGCGGCGGACGGGUGAGUAACACGUGGGUAACCUGCCCAUAAUACUGGGAUAACUCCGGGAAAACGGGGCUAAUACCGGAUAACAUUUUGAACCGCAUGAUUCGAAAUUGAAAGGCGGCUUAGGCUGUCACUUAUGGAUGGACCCGCGUCGCAUUAGCUAGUUGGUGAGGUAACGGCUCACCAAGGCAACGAUGCGUAGCCGACCUGAGAGGGUGAUCGGCCACACUGGGACUGAGACACGGCCCAGACUCCUACAGGAGGCAGCAGUAGGGAAUCUUCCGCAAUGGACGAAAGUCUGACGGAGCAACGCUGCGUGAGUGAUGAAGGCUUUCGGGUCGUAAAACUCUGUUGUUAGGGAAGAACAAGUGCUAGUUGAAUAAGCUGGCACCUUGACGGUACCUAACCAGAAAGCCACGGCUAACUACGUGCCAGCCGCCGCGGUAA
rnacentral:rRNA from 1 species